rnacentral:rRNA from 1 species
AGAGUUUGAUCCUGGCUCAGGACGAACGCUGGCGGCGUGCCUAAUACAUGCAAGUCGAGCGCAGGAAGUCAUCAGAUCCUCUUCGGAGGUGACGAUAAUGGAAUGAGCGGCGGACGGGUGAGUAACACGUAGGCAACCUGCCUGUAAGACUGGGAUAACUCGUGGAAACGCGAGCUAAUACCGGAUAACACUUUUCAUCUCCUGAUGAGAAGUUGAAAGGCGGCUUUUGCUGUCACUUACAGAUGGGCCUGCGGCGCAUUAGCUAGUUGGUAAGGUAACGGCUUACCAAGGCGACGAUGCGUAGCCGACCUGAGAGGGUGAUCGGCCACACUGGGACUGAGACACGGCCCAGACUCCUACGGGAGGCAGCAGUAGGGAAUCUUCCGCAAUGGACGAGAGUCUGACGGAGCAACGCCGCGUGAGUGAUGAANGUUUUUCGGAUCGUAAAACUCUGUUGUUAGGGAAAAAAAAGUNCUNUNAGUAACUGANAAUUNCCUUGA